GUUUUUAGGUAUCACGUUCCUUUUUUUAAGUCAGAGGUAUCAAUAUAUAUAUAUCCUGUUGUAGUCUUUUUUAAGUCCCAUAAAUAGAUUGCUCUUGUGUUACUGGAUAUAUGUAAACAAUUACAGACUAAACUGAUCGUGUGCAUAUAUAAUGCAAAAAAGUACACGUGAAGAUAUUCUUAUACAAGGUAACUCCUGAAUUCAAGUCAACCACAUCUGAUAUUCAGCUGAAAGACUAGUCAUCUGUUCUAACUGGAGGAAGUAGUGGCUGUGUUAGACUAACCAAGAAUCCCUGUAGUUCACUCACAGCCUGUACACUGUCCUUCACGGUUUAAGGAUAAUUUUCUUUAUGCCAGUCAUGUCUUAUGUGGUGGUAUCAAAGUCUGACUACCCCUACGAGGUGGCUGUGCUCAGUGGGUACCUGUCUGGGCAUAGAAAAUGCCAGGGCAGGCAAACCAGCAUCAGAAGAUGGCUAAGGCAGGAGUGGGGCCUAUCCUGUUCACUUCCACACUUUGGUCUACUUUGGUUUUUAUGAUAAAGCAGGGAUAGAGGAGAAAAUAACUUAGAAUUCUGAAAAACUUAAAAGCGGAGAAACGGUGACAUUUAGUGACUUACUACAUGUGAAAAAUUGGUACUUUUCCUGGAUUUUGCCUGGACUUUUUUCUCCCAAAUUAGUAUAUUCUAGUCGUGCCUAACUAUGCUAUUCUUUGUCUAGAUGAACAAGAGAACUGGGCAACCCAUGAUCCACAUCUACCUGGACAAGGAAACAGGAAAGCCCAAAGGCGAUGCUACAGUGUCCUAUGAAGACCCACCCACUGCCAAGGCUGCCGUGGAAUGGUUUGAUGGGAAAGAUUUUCAAGGGAGCAAACUUAAAGUCUCCCUUGCUCGGAAGAAGCCUCCAAUGAACAGUAUGCGGGGUGGUAUGCCACCCCGUGAGGGCAGAGGGAUGCCACCACCACUCCGCGGAGGUCCAGGAGGCCCAGGAGGUCCUGGGGGACCCAUGGGUCGCAUGGGAGGCCGUGGAGGAGAUAGAGGAGGCUUCCCUCCAAGAGGACCCCGGGGUUCCCGAGGGAACCCCUCUGGAGGAGGAAACGUCCAGCACCGAGCUGGAGACUGGCAGUGUCCCAAUCCGUAUGUACUUGUCUUGGCAAAUUGAUACCCUACGAGUGAAGCCACCCUUCCCUCACCCCAUCCCCACUCUAGAGUGGAUUGCUCUGUCUAGAGGAACAGAAUGAUGACCCUGAUGGCUGGUUAGGGACACUAGUCAGCCAUUCACUGGAUGCUUCAGAGCCUUCUGAAGAUUGAUUUGACCUGUCCUGUGGGUGCAAUGCUGCCUGAGGCUGUGCCCUACAGCAUGGGUGUACAUAGAUCCUCUUGAUAGUGAGUGUGUACCUGUUCACACACCACCUUUCCUUGUUUAUCUUCCUUAGUUCAAUUGGUGAUUUCUGCUGUGAUGUAAUUGUAUGCAGGGGUUGUGGAAACCAGAACUUCGCCUGGAGAACAGAGUGCAACCAGUGUAAGGCCCCAAAGCCUGAAGGCUUCCUCCCGCCACCCUUCCCGCCCCCGGGUAGGUGCAGGUUUCAUGAGUGUCCCCUCAGCUUCCUGGUGCUAAACCUCUUUUCUUAUUUGUGGGCUUGGUAAACUGCAGUUGCCCUCUGCUUAACAACUUUGAGUUGUCGUGUCCUCAUUUCUAAAUUGUCAGCCCGAUGCUGAGAUUGAGUGAAGUGUCUGGUUUGUUCUGCUGUGAGAGAAGGAAGCAGAGCAGCUUCCACAGUGUCCACGGGGCCUCUGCAGCCACCCACUGACUGCUUUCGCCCUGCUAUUCUCACCUUAGGUGGUGAUCGUGGCAGAGGUGGCCCUGGUGGCAUGCGGGGAGGAAGAGGUGGCCUCAUGGAUCGUGGUGGUCCCGGUGGAAUGUUCAGAGGUGGCCGUGGUGGAGACAGAGGUGGCUUCCGUGGUGGCCGGGGCAUGGACCGAGGUGGCUUUGGUGGAGGAAGACGAGGUGGCCCUGGGGGGCCCCCUGGACCUUUGAUGGAACAGAUGGGAGGAAGAAGAGGAGGACGUGGAGGACCUGGAAAAAUGGAUAAAGGCGAGCACCGUCAGGAGCGCAGAGAUCGGCCCUACUAGAUGCAGAGACCCCGCAGAGCUGCAUUGACUACCAGAUUUAUUUUUUAAACCAGAAAAUGUUUUAAAUUUAUAAUUCCAUAUUUAUAAUGUUGGCCACAACAUUAUGAUUAUUCCUUGUCUGUACUUUAGUAUUUUUCAACAUUUGUGAAGAAACAUUAAAACAAGUUAAAUGGUA
rnacentral:sRNA from 1 species